rnacentral:rRNA from 1 species
UACAGAGGUCUCAAGCGUUGUUCGGAUUCAUUUGGGCGUAAAGGGCGCGAGUAGGCGGCGAGGUAAGUCUGGUGUGAAAUCUAAGGAGCUCAACUCCUAAACUGCACUGGAUACUGCUUUGCUUGAGGACUGGAGAGGAGAUUGGAAUUCACGGUGUAGCAGUGAAAUGCGUAGAUAUCGUGAGGAAGACCAGUGGCGAAGGCGGAUCUCUGGACAGUUCCUGACGUGAGGCGCGAAGGCCAGGGGAGCAAACGG